UACGUAGGGGGCAAGCGUUGUCCGGAUUUAUUGGGCGUAAAGAGCGUGUAGGCGGCUUUGCAAGUCCGUUGUGAAAAACUCGAGGCUCAACCUCGAGACGCCGGUGGAAACUGCAAAGCUAGAGUCCGGAAGAGGAGAGUGGAAUUCCUGGUGUAGCGGUGAAAUGCGCAGAAUAUCAGGAAGACACCCGUGGCGAAGGCGGCUCUCUGGGACGGGUACUG
rnacentral:rRNA from 1 species